UUCACCUUUAAUGGCAGUCCAGAGAGGCUGAUAAGGUACCAAAUACAACGCUACCCGUCUGCAGACGGCUACGUAUGUCUUUUUGUGUGCAAAUUCACCUCUUGAGCCAAUAUGCUUAAGAGGUUUUUUCUU
rnacentral:sRNA from 1 species